UACGGAGGAUCCGAGCGUUAUCCGGAUUUAUUGGGUUUAAAGGGUGCGUAGGCGGCCUUUUAAGUCAGCGGUGAAAGUCUGUGGCUCAACCAUAGAAUUGCCGUUGAAACUGGCAGGCUGGAGUGCCGGAGAGGCAGGCGGAAUUCCUAGUGUAGCGGUGAAAUGCGUAGAUAUUAGGAGGAACACCAGUGGCGAAGGCGGCCUGCUGGACGGUGACUGACGCUGAGGCUCGAAAGCGUGGAGAGCAAACAGG
rnacentral:rRNA from 1 species